rnacentral:rRNA from 1 species
CACGGGGGGAGCAAGCGUUGUUCGGAAUCACUGGGCGUAAAGGGCGUGUAGGCGGUCAAGUAAGUGGAAUGUGAAAGCCCCCGGCUUACCCGGGGAUCUGCAUCCCAAACUGCUUGGCUUGAGUACGGGAGAGGAUAGGGGAAUUCCUGGUGUAGCGGUGAAAUGCGUAGAUAUUAGGAGGAACACCGGUGGCGAAGGCGGCUAUCUGGACGACAACUGACGCUGAGGCGCGAAAGCGUGGGGAUCAAACAGG